rnacentral:rRNA from 1 species
AGUGAACGCUGGCGGUGGGCCUAACACAUGCGAGUCGAACGGAAGCACGUUAAGAGUUUGUUCUUACGGUUGGCGCGUGCCGGCCGGGUAAGGACUCCAUCGGAAUCUACUUUUUCGUGGGGGACAACGUAGGGAAAGUUACGCUAAUACAGCAUACGACCUACGGUUGGAAUCAGGACAUCAUCGAACGUUUUCCGGUAGACUGAGCCGAUGCUGGAUUAGCUAGGUUGCGAGGUAAAGGCCCACCAAGGCGACGCUCCGUAGCUGGUCUGAGAGGAGGAUCAGCCACACUGGAACUGAGACACGGUCCAGACUCCUACGGGAGGCAGCAGUGGGGAAUAUUAGACAAUGGGCGCAAGCCUGAUCCAGCCAUACCGCGUGGGUGAAGAAGGCCUUCGGGUUGUAAAGCCCUUUUGUUGGUAAAGAAAAGCAGCGUGUGAAAACCCCGCUGUUCUGACGGUACCCAAUGAAUAAGCACCGGCUAACUUCGUG